AGUUAAAGAUGUCGUCAUUCAGAUUUUACGCAGUUGUCGCCCUUGUGUGCGUCUUCUUGGUCAUCCAGACCAGCGCUGAGGCUCAAGACUUCGACAAGAGUCAGAUUACCGAAGAAACCUUUGCGAACCUGAGGCAGAGGAGAGAUGCUGGCCAGAUCAAUGAGGAGGACUUCAACACAUAUUCCGAUCAUCUCAGAAAGAUAAUGAAGUGAGAAGUACUCCUCCACUACCGGAUUGAAGUCAAAUGGACAAACGGUGACGCCACAAAA